GAGUUUACUGUUGUAUUGGAAAUAGUUACAGAAACUACAAUUUACGAGUAUGUUGUUUAUAAUAAAUUAGCGAAUGUUCAAUAUUUUGAAUCCUAAUUCUAGUAUGUUUACAAAGAGAACUAAUUCUGAAUAUUUCAUGUUUUGAAGAACGAUGCAGAAUCAAAGUUUAAAAAAUACUAGAGGUCCCGCAGUAGUCGAAAUUCGACUAUAAUUAAUUGGAAUUCAAAAAUAAUCGCAAGAAUCGAUUUGAAUAGGAUGUUAGGAUAUUAUGCCCAUCCGAUUUAAGCAUGUGCAAUGUGAGACUCAUGAUGGAUGGCGUCAGUAAUGUUAUAAAUUUUGGGGUUUCCAGUAGGAGCUUCCAUUUCACAAACUUCGCCUGCAACGAAUAAUACAGUCGUCCUUGACCACAAAAAACUGUUAAGUGUACGUAAUAUUGAAAAUAAAAUGAUAAUAAAAAAACGUGAGAUUAAUACCUUUAAAA